GACGAACGCUGGCGGCGUGCUUAACACAUGCAAGUCGAACGGAAAGGCCCUGCUUUUGUGGGGUGCUCGAGUGGCGAACGGGUGAGUAACACGUGAGUAACCUGCCCUUGACUUUGGGAUAACUUCAGGAAACUGGGGCUAAUACCGGAUAGGAGCUCCUGCUGCAUGGUGGGGGUUGGAAAGUUUCGGCGGUUGGGGAUGGACUCGCGGCUUAUCAGCUUGUUGGUGGGGUAGUGGCUUACCAAGGCUUUGACGGGUAGCCGGCCUGAGAGGGUGACCGGCCACAUUGGGACUGAGAUACGGCCCAGACUCCUACGGGAGGCAGCAGUGGGGAAUAUUGCACAAUGUGCGGAAGCCUGAUGCAGCCACGCCGCGUGCGGGAUGACGGCCUUCGGGUUUUAAACCGCUUUCGCCUGUGACGAAGCGUGAGUGACGGUAAUGGGUAAAGAAGCACCGGCUAACUACGUG
rnacentral:rRNA from 1 species